UACGGAGGAUCCAAGCGUUAUCCGGAUUUAUUGGGUUUAAAGGGUGCGUAGGCGGAUUAUUAAGUCAGUGGUGAAAGCCUGCAGCUUAACUGCAGAACUGCCAUUGAUACUGAUGAUCUUGAGUACAGUUGAGGUGGGCGGAAUGUGUCAUGUAGCGGUGAAAUGCUUAGAUAUGACACAGAACACCGAUUGCGAAGGCAGCUCGCUAAACUGUAACUGACGCUGAGGCACGAAAGCGUGGGGAUCAAACAGG
rnacentral:rRNA from 1 species